rnacentral:rRNA from 1 species
AUUGAACGCUGGCGGCAGGCCUAACACAUGCAAGUCGAGCGGAUGAAGGGAGCUUGCUCCUGGAUUCAGCGGCGGACGGGUGAGUAAUGCCUAGGAAUCUGCCUGGUAGUGGGGGAUAACGUCCGGAAACGGGCGCUAAUACCGCAUACGUCCUGAGGGAGAAAUUGGGGGAUCUUCGGACCUCGCGCUAUCAGAUGAGCCUAGGUCGGAUUAGCUAGUUGGUGGGGUAAAGGCCUACCAAGGCGACGAUCCGUAACUGGUCUGAGAGGAUGAUCAGUCACACUGGAACUGAGACACGGUCCAGACUCCUACGGGAGGCAGCAGUGGGGAAUAUUGGACCAUGGGCGAAAGCCUGAUCCAGCCAUGCCGCGUGUGUGAAGAAGGUCUUCGGAUUGUAAAGCACUUUAAGUUGGGAGGAAGGGCAGUAAGUUAAUACCUUGCUGUUUUGACGUUACCAACAGAAUAAGCACCGGCUAACUUCGUG